rnacentral:lncRNA from 1 species
CCUGGGAUUCAAAUGGCCUGGCAGGAAGUGCUCUAGCAGAGGGACUCUGGCCUUGCAAGAGUCCCUAUUUCCCCCUUUUUUUUUGCUUUUCACACAGUAAAACCCUGCUUUACUUCCCUUUGAGUCGUCUGUGAGCCUAAAUUUUUGUGGCUGUGGGAAGGACAAGAACCCCAUCUUUAGCUGAAAUAAGGAAAAGUUCCGCAACAUUUUUGGCACACACCCUGGGGGCUCCGGAAGUGGAAUGCUGUCGGAACUGGACCUUGAUGAAGGAAAUACUUUCUGACUCAUUGGAAUUUGUUAUAGUCAAAAACCCUCAACCCUGCAUCCUACCAUCCUGGGCUUGCACUGCAAGUUACAUGAUCCCUGAGCUGACCACUUUGGCUUGAAUCCCUGGAAGGAGAAAGGAGAGAGAGAGCAACUAGUUCAGACACAAGCAUCUAGUUCAGCUUUGUUUGCCUAUGUGAUAACUUAGGUCUUCACGAUGGCCCAGAGUAAGACGACGCAGGAGGACCCUUCUAGUCAUUUAAUUAUUGCUUGACCAGAACUGUGCCUUGUAAGGUGUUUCCAGACCUAAGAAUAACAGGAACAUGGAGGAGUGGCAUCUCCAGUGUAGCCACCCACCAAAGCCUCAUCCUGAACACUAUGGCCUAGUGGGUCACUUACAGGGAUGUAGCUGGCAUUGAUGUAGUCAGAGCAAGGAUCAUCAUCUACAUUGGAGAGCUUCACUCGCGUGGCAUCAUCUGGAAGGAGAGAUUUGCUGCUGAGUCUUGGAGUGACUUUUCUACAGUUUAUGUGAUGUGUGUGAUGUGCCUUAGCUCUGAUCCCCACAACAGCCACAGAUGGGAAGUGAUCUUAUCUCCAUUUUGCAGAUGAGGCUCAGGCAGGAUAACUAACUUGCCCCAUGUUGCAUAGGUGGCCUAUAACCAGUCAGACACAGGAGACAACAUGAAGCCCCAUCUGUGCUUCCCUUUCUGACAUUACCACAUUUGCCUGAUGGAGUGGCCAGCUCCCUUUCACUGCUGGAAUGAAUACAAUCCAGAAAACCUACCUUCUAUUGCUUUACCUAAUGGGGUAAGGAAAUUUAAGUAGAAAUUGCUAACCGAAGACUUUGCUAAGCAAACCCAGGUCUGCUUGAUGUCAGAGCCCUUGCUGUUAACCCCAUUUACUGCUUAGCCUCCAAAGAGAAGCAAUAGCAUCACAUGGGGAAAUGUCAACAGCAUAAGAGGACUUUCAUAAUCAGAAUUUAAACUGGCUAUUAUCCCUCUGGAGGGAAGUGCAGGAAUAUACAAGCUAUUUCUUAUUAAAGGCAUUCAGAGCUUGAGAUUGUCCAUAUCGAGCUAUAUUAUAUUUCUUUAGCCUCAUUUCAUUUUUGGAGAAAAAUGCAGAAAUGGCUAGAGGAAGACAGUAUUACAAAUUUUGACACAAAACUUACAGGGCAAUAUAUUGUUGUAUCGAUUUUUCCCUCUAUUCUCCGGCAAGAGUGCAAUGUCACAUGACUGGUUUCGGCCCACGUCUUUUAACUCCUGUUAGGUCAAAUAUGAGUUUGUAAGUGGAGAAUAUGAAAUAGAAUAAAGCAAAUCAUACAGUCCUGGAGAUAACAUAAUAACAUGAAAAUAUAUACACUAGCUAUUGUUUAUGAAUGCCUAGUACUCAACAUGCAUUAGCCCUGAUCCCCACAACAGCCCCACAAGGGAGGUGGUGGUCUCACUAUUUUACAGGUGAGGCUCAGUCAGGAUAACUGAUGUGCCCCAGGUCACCCAAGUGGCAAACCUGAGAAUCAGUUCCAAAAGCUACGUGCUUUUUGCGAAACCACGGCAUCUUCCAGCCAAGCAAAUGGCCAGGCUGAAUAUCUGACAGCUUUAGGUCUGCAUUUGAGAUUUGUUAAUUCUUCCUUACUAUCUGAUCCAGGUAGCCCUUGGUUUGCUGUGUUAUUCUGGAGCUCAAGCUGGCCUCUAAGAUUAGAUGGUAUAUUCUAUUCAGGGCAUAGUUUAGGCAUAAAAGAGUGCUCAGCUGAGAUUCUAA